rnacentral:lncRNA from 1 species
CACUUUGUAGUUUUGCAGUUUGUAAGUUUUUGGUGGAUCCCUUUAUGGAGGCAGAGCACAUUCACAAGUAUAGAAAGGGAGGGUGCCUCUUGCAACAAUUCUAGAAUCUUUCUUACGGUGUUAUCUGUUAACUAGGUAACUAUUUAGUAUUUAUUUUAAGGAUUAAUAGGUAUUUUUUUCCAUAUCAUAUCAACCACCUUUGAAAAUUCUUUCCGCAAAAAAAAGACUUUGUCGUUAAUAUUAUUCUCUUG